UACGUAGGGAGCGAGCGUUAUCCGGAUUUAUUGGGUGUAAAGGGUGCGUAGGCGGCUUUUUAGGUCUAAGGUUUAAGCCCGGAGCUUAACUCCGGUUCGCCUUAGAAACCGAUUGGCUUGAGUAUGGUAGAGGCAAGUGGAAUUUCUAGUGUAGCGGUAAAAUGCGUAGAUAUUAGAAGGAACACCAGUGGCGAAGGCGACUUGCUGGGCCAUUACUGACGCUGAGGCACGAAAGCGUGGGGAGCAAAUAGG
rnacentral:rRNA from 1 species